GUCCACGCAGUAAACGAUGUGCACUAGGUGUUGGGGUAAUAAAACCUUCAGUGCCGCAGCUAACGCAUUAAGUGCACCGCCUGGGGAUUACGGUCGCAAGAUUAAAACUCAAAGGAAUUGACGGGGGCCCGCACAAGCGGUGGAGUAUGUGGUUUAAUUCGACGCAACGCGCAUAACCUUACCUGGGCUUGACAUCCCGAUCGUACUUCCUGGAAACAGGAGGUCAGCUCGGCUGGAUCGGUGACAGGUGCUGCAUGGCUGUCGU
rnacentral:rRNA from 1 species